rnacentral:rRNA from 1 species
UACGUAGGGGGCUAGCGUUGUCCGGAAUCAUUGGGCGUAAAGCGCGUGUAGGCGGCCCGGUAAGUCCGCUGUGAAAGUCGGGGGCUCAACCCUCGGAAGCCGGUGGAUACUGUCGGGCUCGAGUACGGAAGAGGCGAGUGGAAUUCCUGGUGUAGCGGUGAAAUGCGUAGAUAUCUGGAGGAACACCGGUGGCGAAGGCGGCAUCCUGGACCAACACUGACGCUGAGGAGCGAAAGCCAGGGGAGCAAACGGG